GUUGAUGAAAGCUGACAGCAGAGGCGAGAAAACAGCCAGCGCUCUCCGCGCGUGAUAAAACCAUUACAAUCAAUUUAGGCAGCUCGCAGGCGCGCAGACAGACUCUGUGUUGACUGGAUUCUGUUACGAGGAGUGGGCAUCAUGUUCUGCCUUGGAAGAGUGGCAAAGAUUUAGCCACAAGUGCUGACCCUGGACCAGGAUCCAGCUGAUGGAGAGCAGCAAGGGGGGUGAGCCUGACGAUCCUGAGUGAGCAUCUGCUUAAAGUGAGACACUACGGAGACUAUUACUGCAAUCGUGGAAUCCAACCAGUUUAAGAGAGCAGCUUCGGACCCACUUCCAAACUCCAUCUUCCAGGUUGUUGGAUGUUUGAGCUCCAUAAUCCCCUCUGCUGCUCACUGUAAAAAUCUCAAGGAGGAAAUAAAGAACUGACCGAGGGAGAGACCAGAACACAAGCCUGGUUGGUAUUUCUUUGGCCACCACUUGCCAGGUAAGUAGCCUCCUACUGCAGGCAGGGUGCAUUUUGGUGAUAAUUCCUGGGUUCAGAUCUGAGCUCCGCUGCUCCAAUUGCUGUGUGACCUUGGGCAAGUACCUUGAUGUCUCUGAGCCUCAGCUUAUGUACUUAUUAUGAAGAUAAUAAUAGUACUAACCCCAUAGAGUUGUUACUGGAUUAAAUGAAAUCCUCCAUUUAAUUGUUAGCACACUGCCUGGCUUACGAUACGAACUCCACAAAAUCUGUGUGUGUAGCUAUACAAGGGCUUUAAAAAACUGUGCUUAGCAGCUGAACACUGUUUUUUCUUAAACACUUUAAAUUCA